AGUCCGACCUCCUGCACAACACAGGCCACAGAGCUUCCUUGAAUUAAUUCCUGCUUCAAGUCUAAUAGCCAUGGUUGAACUAGGACAUCUUCCAGCAAAAUACCCAGUCUUGAUUUAAAGAUAAUCAGUGAUGGAGAAUCCACCACAAUCCUUGCUUGUACUUUGGUCAAGGAUGAUAUGAGCAACUGAUGAACCCUUCGAAGGUCAUUAAGGUCACUGACUACACCACUUGCUAUCCAGGCACUGCAAACCUAGCAUGCUCCCUCUCCGAGCUUUGAAACAGAGGGCUGAAGAAGGGGGAAAAUGAGAAAAAUGACACUCAGAUGUGAAAAAGAGAAAGCUGACAUUGGUGCUGUGCCAUAUUUUUCCAUCUGUAGUUCACUAAGAGGACAAAGCCUUUCUGACUGAUGCAAAACAGUCUCCAUCACAAGAUCUUUAUUGCCUCCAGGUUAGAUCACUACAAUAUGUUCUUCUUGGGUCUUCUCAUGAAAGCCAUUCAGAAACUUAAUACAAAACAUUAUAUCCUACCUCCUUAGUGGAGUAGGUUGGUGUGAACAUGUUACAGGUAUGUUGAUAUGAGAAAUUAAUUAUAGUUUUGUGAAAUCCUAUCAAAUGGCCUGAACGGAUGUAACUGGUGUUGGAAUUAGUUAAGGGUCUUAACCAUCUUAUAUAAUUUCUACCUUGGACUA